UUUUUUUUUCUGUAAGAGCUUUUGAGUUGAUUCUUUUUGCUCCUGAUUUCUACGCCUAUUCUUAAGAUUGUCGUAAGUUUUCAGAAUUUUUGAAGUAACACAGGUAUACGAAACAUACAGAUUGCUACAGACUGGUCUGCUGUUAACAGAUUCUGUUUUUGUUGUGUUGGUUGCUUAUUUUGAUGAAACUAUGGAUAGUAUCAGGGGGUAUUAGCCAUGGAAGAUUGAAAGUACAGUAACCCAACAUCAGCACAAGUAUAAUUUAAGUUUGCUAUAGUACCUAAGGAAGUGGUUGUUUGCUUUCUUGUACUAAUGUUAUCACGAGUUUCUGUUUAAGUUUCGUGUUGUGAAGUUUUCAAGUUUUGGGUGAAGUUCUUAUGGACAAAGAGAUAAAGAGUGUCAAGAGCUCAAUCUUGGAGAUGCACAAGUCACCCCAAGAGAUUCAAGGAUGCCGUAAAAGCCUAAGCUUGGGGAUGCCCCGGGAAGGCAUCCCCUCUCUCGUUUUCAAUCCAUCGGUAACGUUACUUGGGGCUAUAUUUUUAUUCACCACAUGUUAUGUGUUUUUGCUUGGAGCAUCUUGUAUCGUAGGAGUCUUUUAUUUUUGUUGUGUCACAAUCAUCCUUGCUGCACACCUAGAGAUAGAGACAUGCACACACCAUGAUUUUGUCAAGCUUCACUUAUAUCUUUUGGUAGACAAUUCAGCUCACAUGUGCUUCACUUAUAUCUUUUGAGCUAGAUACUUUUGCUCUAUGUGUUUCACUUAUAUCUUUUAGAGCGCAGCAGUGCGUGGCUUGGUAUUUGAUCUAUGCUUUGAAAGUAGUCUCAGAAGGGGUAGUUAUCCAAAGGGAUACGAAAACUUCCACCUUCAUGUGCAUUGAAUAGUUAGAGAAGUUUGAUUCAUCUCAAUUAGUUUUGAGUUGUUGUUAUGGUAAUAUUGAAGUCAUGCUAGUAAGGUGUUGUGGAUCUAGAAAUACUUGUGUUGAAGUUAGUGAUUCCCGUAGCAUGCACGUAUGGUGAACCGCUAUGUGAUGAAAUCUGAGCAUUAUUAGUAUAUUGAUUGUCAUCCUUUGCGUGGCGGUCGGGAUCGCGCGGUGGUUUAUACCGACCAACCCUUCCCCUUGGAGUAUGCGUUGAAUGCUUUGUUUCGAUUACUAAUUAAACUUUUGCAACAAGAAUAUGAGUUCUUCAUGACUAAUGUUGAUUCCAUGGUUUAGAUCCACUUUCACCUUCCACCAUCACUAUCUUCUUAGUGCCGUGCAAGUUUCGCUGGUGCACAAAACCCACCAUUAGCCUCCCUCAAAACAGCCACCAUACCUACCUAUUAUGGCUUUUUCAAAGUCAUUCCGAGAUAUAUAGCCAUGCAAAUAUCACCAUGACAUGUGCCACCACGUCUACUCUUCCUUUGCAUGAUCGUAAGAUAGCUAGCAUGAUGUUUCCAUUGAUGUCUAUGCCAUGCUAGAUCAUUGCCACGGUACACUACCGAAGACAUUCCAUAUAGAGUCAUAGUUGCUCUAAGUUUUGAGUUGAAAGUGUGAUGAUCAUCAUUAAUGGAGCAUUGCCCCAUGUGAGGAAAUAAAAGAGGCCAAAGAAGCCCAUAGAAUAAAGAGGCCAAAGAGCUCACCAAAAUAAAACAAAUGAGAGAAAAAGAGAGAAGGGACAAUGCUACCACUUUUUCCACACUUGUGCAUAUUCAGCACCAUGAUCUUCAUGAUUGAGAGUCUCUUGUUUUGUCACCACCAUAUAGCUAGUGGUAAAUUUUCAUUAUAUAACUUGGCUUGUAUAUUCCAAUGAUAGGCUUCCUCAAAAUUGCCUUAGGUCUUCUUGAGCAAGCAAGUUGGAUGCACACGCACUAGUUUUCCUUAAGAGCUUUCACUUACUCGUAGCUCUAGUGCAUCAUUUGUAUGGCAAUCCCUACUCAUUCACAUUGAUAUCUAUUGAUGAGCAUCUCCACAAGUCACUGAUAUGCCUAGUUAAUGUGACUAUCUUCUCCUUUUUUGUCUUGCAACCUCCACUACAUUCCACACCAUCUAUAGUGCUACAACCAUGGCUCACGCUCAUGUAUUGCGUGAGAGUUGAAAAUGUUUCAAAAAGGAAAGGUGUGAAACAAUUACUUGGCCAAUACCAGGGUUGUGCAUGAUUUUAAUUCGUUGUGCAAUGAUGAUAGAGCAUAGCGAGACUAUAUGCUUUUGUAGGGAUAACUUUCUUUUGGCCUUGUUAUUUUGAAAGUUCAUGAUUACUUUGCUAGUUUGCUUGAAUUAUUAUUGUUUCCACGUCAAUAGGAAACUAUUGUUUUGAAUCUAAUGGAUCUGAACAUUCACGUCACAUAAGAGGAAUUACAAAGGACACCUAUGCUAGGUAGCAUGAAAGCAUCAAAAAUUCAUUCUUAUCACUUCCCUAAUCGAGGACGAGCAGGAGUUAAGCUUGGGGAUGCUUGAUACGUCUCAAACGUAUCUAUAAUUUUUGAUGGUUUCACGUUGUUACCUUGUCUUCUUUGGUUGUUUUAUGUACCUUUUAUAUCUUUUUUGGGACUUACUUAUUAAUUCAGUGCCAAGUGCCAGUUCCUGUUUUUUCCGUGUUUUUGACUCUUUUCAGAUCUGAUUUUGGAACAAAGUCCAAACGGAAGAAAAACCCCAAAAUGAUUUUUCCCCAACGGAAGAAGACCAGUGGGCUUUUGGGCCAAGCCAGGUGGGCUCCAGGGACCCCACAAGCCCCCACUCCGCCAACAGGGAGGAGGCGGCGGUGGGCAGGCUUGUGGCCUCCCUGGCCGCCCCCUGACCUAGGUCUUUGGCCUAUAAAUUCCCAAAUAUUCCGCAAAAAAUCAGGAGAGCCUCGAAAAUACUUUUCCGCCGCUGCAAGCUUCCGUUUCCGCGAGAUCUCAUCUGGAGACCCUUCCCGGCACCGUGCUGGAGGGGACUUUUGAGUUGGAGGGCUUCUUCAUCAUCAUCAUCGCCCCUCCAAUGACUCGUGAGUAGUUCACUUCAGACCUACGGGUCCGUAGUUAGUAGCUAGAUGGCUUCUUCUCUCUGUUGGAUCUUCAAUACAAAGUUCUCCAUGAUCUUCAUGGAGAUCUAUCCGAUGUAAUCUUAUUUGGCGGUGUGUUUGUGGAGAUCUGAUGAAUUGUGGAUUUGUGAUCAGAUUAUCUAUGAUAUAUAUUUGAGUCUUUGCUGAUUUCUUANUAGUAGAUGCAGAAAGUAUUGGUCUACUUGUUUCGGACGUGAUGCCUAUAUAAACAAUCAUUGCAUAGAUAUCGUCAUGACUUUGCGCGGCUCUAUCAAUUGCUCGACAGUAAUUUGUUCACCCACCGUCUACUUGCUUUCAUGAGAGAAGCCACUAGUAAACACUACGGCCCCCGGGUCUAUUCACAUCCAUCGUUUACACCUCCGCUUUUACUUUGCUUUGUUACUUUGUUGCUUUCAGUUCUCACUUGGCAAACAAUCUAUAAGGGAUUGACAACCCCUUCAUAGCUCUGGGAGCAAGUUUUUGUGUUUGUGCAGGAUCUUGAGAUACUCCUCCACUGGAUUGAUACCUUGGUUCUCAAACUAAGGGAAGUACUUACCACCGCUAUGCUACAUCACCCUUUCCACUUCGAGGGAACACCAACGCAAGGCUCCAAGCCAUGGGGGAAAUCCUUUGCAUACUUGCCUAGGAAGUCCCUUAAGGCGUAGCCGCAGCUGAAGGAUUCCUGGUGCCGUUGCUGAGGAGUAUCAAGCAACACUCCUAUUUCUGGCGCCGUUGGAAGGUCUUUUGUUGCAGUAGCAAUGAUGUGGCUGCCACCUAGGAUCACUUGGUCCAAUGAUGAAAAUGAGCCCAAUCCAAAUGUAGUGUGUUGAUGGGCCAAGGCCAAGUGUUCAACCCAUUUAUGCAUUCAUUAUAAAAUCAGUUGGGCCAUAAAAAUACACGAUUAUGAUUCAGUUAGCCCUUUUUUUAGGCUGAUAUCUUAUGGAUUUUUUAAAUUACAUUAUUAUUUUCCCAGCGUGGUACAAUUUCAUGGAGCCAUUUUUUUGCAAUUAUAACAAUAAAUGCAUUACGUGUAGCAACAUUCGAAAUCACAACACAGGCAAAUAUGAUAUUACAUACAAGUUUGAAGCAUUCAGCACUAAAUAAAACAAACCGAUGAUACCAAUAGUCAAACCAAUCGAAGAAAAGGUACAUCUCUACAUCAUCUAGCUCUUCGAGAUAUGGAUUUCAUUAUCUUCCUCUUCCAAACUUCUGAGAGCAUGAAGGAUCACAGAUGAGAAGCAAGCCU
rnacentral:lncRNA from 1 species